rnacentral:rRNA from 1 species
AUUGAACGCUGGCGGCAUGCCUUACACAUGCAAGUCGAACGGUAACAGGUCUUCGGAUGCUGACGAGUGGCGAACGGGUGAGUAAUACAUCGGAACGUGCCUAGUAGUGGGGGAUAACUACUCGAAAGAGUGGCUAAUACCGCAUGAGAUCUACGGAUGAAAGCAGGGGAUCGCAAGACCUUGUGCUACUAGAGCGGCCGAUGGCAGAUUAGGUAGUUGGUGGGAUAAAAGCUUACCAAGCCGACGAUCUGUAGCUGGUCUGAGAGGACGAUCAGCCACAGUGGGAAUGAGACACGGCCCAGAAUCCUACGGGAGGAAGAAGUGGGGAAGUUUGGACAAUGGGCGCAAGCCUGAUCCAGCAAUGCCGCGUGCAGGAUGAAGGCCUUCGGGUUGUAAACUGCUUUUGUACGGAACGAAAAGCCCUGGGUUAAUACCCUGGGGUCAUGACGGUACCGUAAGAAUAAGCACCGGCUAACUACGUGCCAGCAGCCGCCGCAGUAA